UACGAAGGGGGCUAGCGUUGUUCGGAUUUACUGGGCGUAAAGCGCACGUAGGCGGCUUUGUAAGUUAGAGGUGAAAGCCCAGGGCUUAACUCUGGAAUUGCCUUUAAGACUGCAUCGCUAGAAUCGUGGAGAGGUGAGUGGAAUUCCGAGUGUAGAGGUGAAAUUCGUAGAUAUUCGGAAGAACACCAGUGGCGAAGGCGACUCACUGGACACGUAUUGACGCUGAGGUGCGAAAGCGUGGGGAGCAACAGG
rnacentral:rRNA from 1 species